UAGCAAACAAAUUUACUGAUGCCCAUGCUUUUUCAAGUGCAUUUGUAAUUUUGCUGAUGCCCUUCUCAUGCCUUCUAUCUCUAAUAAUCUCUAGCAGAAAGAACACGGCUUUUAUGUUCCUUUUCAUAAAUCUUUUUAUUUAAACAUAGUAUCAACCUUUUGCAGAGACAUGAAUAAAAAUUUUACUUGAAGAGGCACAUGACUGGAAGCUUUCCACUCCAUGCAAGCCAAUACCACAGAGUUCUCUUUGGCCGGCCAACACAUAAUGGACCUCAGAGACUAAGCCGAUCAGAGAUGCUCAGUAUCCCGAAUCUAUCAAAUCAAAGUUGUUAGCUGCUUCAGCCAGGUGUUGGAAAGAGUUGCCUGCUUUUACGAUUCUCUGAUGGCUCCUUCACAACCAGCUUCAUACCACUAUUGGAGAUUUUGGAGUUCCAUUGGUUCUGCAGCACUUGCAAAUGGCUCAUUUGCAAGG